rnacentral:rRNA from 1 species
ACGAACGCUGGUGGUAUGCUUAACACAUGCAAGUCGAACGGACUCAAGGAGCUUGCUCCUGAAAGUUAGUGGCAAACGGGUGAGUAAUACAUAGGAAUCUACCUAGCAGUAUGGAAUAACCCUGGGAAACCAGAGCUAAUACCAUAUAUUACCGAUUUAUCGGGAAAGAUUUAUCGCUGUUAGAUGAGCCUGUGCCGGAUUAGCUAGUUGGUAGGGUAAUGGCCUACCAAGGCGAUGAUCCGUAGCUGGUCUGAGAGGAUGAUCAGCCACACUGGGACUGAGACACGGCCCAGACUCCUACGGGAGGCAGCAGUGGGGAAUCUUAG